CAAGUCGAACGAGAAAGUCCUUUCGGGGAUGAGUAAAGUGGCAGACGGGUGAGUAACGCGUGAGAAUCUACCCUAAAGUGGAGAAUACCUUCGAGAAAUCGAAGUUAAUACUGCAUACGUCCCUUCGGGGGAGAAAGAUGGCUUAUUUUAGCUGUCGCUUAAGGAUGAGCUUGCGUGCUAUUAGCUAGUUGGUGGGGUAAUGGCCUACCAAGGCGAUGAUGGCUAGUCGGCCUGAGAGGGUGUACGACCACACUGGAACUUAGACACGGUCCAGACUCC
rnacentral:rRNA from 1 species